CGAGCGAACAGAUAAGGAGCUUGCUCCUUUGACGUUAGCGGCGGACGGGUGAGUAACACGUGGGUAACCUACCUAUAAGACUGGGAUAACUUCGGGAAACCGGAGCUAAUACCGGAUAACAUUUGGAACCGCAUGGUUCUAAAGUGAAAGAUGGUUUUGCUAUCACUUAUAGAUGGACCCGCGCCGUAUUAGCUAGUUGGUAAGGUAACGGCUUACCAAGGCGACGAUACGUAGCCGACCUGAGAGGGUGAUCGGCCACACUGGAACUGAGACACGGUCCAGACUCCUACGGGAGGCAGCAGUAGGGAAUCUUCCGCAAUGGGCGAAAGCCUGACGGAGCAACGCCGCGUGAGUGAUGAAGGGUUUCGGCUCGUAAAACUCUGUUAUUAGGGAAGAACAAAUGUGUAAGUAACUGUGCACGUCUUGACGGUACCUAAUCAGAAAGCCACGGCUAACUACGUGCCAGCAGCCGCGGUAAUACGUAGGUGGCAAGCGUUAUCCGGAAUUAUUGGGCGUAAAGCGCGCGUAGGCGGUUUCUUAAGUCUGAUGUGAAAGCCCACGGCUCAACCGUGGAGGGUCAUUGGAAACUGGGAAACUUGAGUGCAGAAGAGGAAAGUGGAAUUCCAUGUGUAGCGGUGAAAUGCGCAGAGAUAUGGAGGAACACCAGUGGCGAAGGCGACUUUCUGGUCUGUAACUGACGCUGAUGUGCGAAAGCGUGGGGAUCAAACAGGAUUAGAUACCCUGGUAGUCCACGCCGUAAACGAUGAGUGCUAAGUGUUAGGGGGUUUCCGCCCCUUAGUGCUGCAGCUAACGCAUUAAGCACUCCGCCUGGGGAGUACGACCGCAAGGUUGAAACUCAAAGGAAUUGACGGGGACCCGCACAAGCGGUGGAGCAUGUGGUUUAAUUCGAAGCAACGCGAAGAACCUUACCAAAUCUUGACAUCCUUUGAAAACUCUAGAGAUAGAGCUUUCCCCUUCGGGGGACAAAGUGACAGGUGGUGCAUGGUUGUCGUCAGCUCGUGUCGUGAGAUGUUGGGUUAAGUCCCGCAACGAGCGCAACCCUUAAGCUUAGUUGCCAUCAUUAAGUUGGGCACUCUAGGUUGACUGCCGGUGACAAACCGGAGGAAGGUGGGGAUGACGUCAAAUCAUCAUGCCCCUUAUGAUUUGGGCUACACACGUGCUACAAUGGACAAUACAAAGGGCAGCUAAACCGCGAGGUCAUGCAAAUCCCAUAAAGUUGUUCUCAGUUCGGAUUGUAGUCUGCAACUCGACUACAUGAAGCUGGAAUCGCUAGUAAUCGUAGAUCAGCAUGCUACGGUGAAUACGUUCCCGGGUCUUGUACACACCGCCCGUCACACCACGAGAGUUUGUAACACCCGAAGCCGGUGGAGUAACCAUUUA
rnacentral:rRNA from 1 species